rnacentral:rRNA from 1 species
GGAGGAAAAGAAACUAACAAGGAUUCCCCUAGUAGCGGCGAGCGAAGCGGGAAGAGCUCAAAUUUAUAAUCUGGCACCUUCGGUGUCCGAGUUGUAAUCUCUAGAAAUGUUUUCCGCGUUGGACCGCACACAAGUCUGUUGGAAUACAGCGGCAUAGUGGUGAGACCCCCGUAUAUGGUGCGGACGCCCAGCGCUUUGUGAUACAUUUUCGAAGAGUCGAGUUGUUUGGGAAUGCAGCUCAAAUUGGGUGGUAAAUUCCAUCUAAAGCUAAAUAUUGGCGAGAGACCGAUAGCGAACAAGUACCGUGAGGGAAAGAUGAAAAGCACUUUGGAAAGAGAGUUAACAGUACGUGAAAUUGUUGGAAGGGAAACGCUUGAAGUCAGACUUGCUUGCCGAGCAAUCGGUUUGCAGGCCAGCAUCAGUUUUCCGGGAUGGAUAAUGGUAGAGAGAAGGUAGCAGUUUCGGCUGUGUUAUAGCUCUCUGCUGGAUACAUCUUGGGGGACUGAGGAACGCAGUGUGCCUUUGGCGGGGGUUUCGACCUCUUCACA